rfam:Edwardsiella ictaluri 93-146, complete genome.
GCAACGGCAAAAUCCGUUGCCGGGAUUUGCACCCCGGAAUUGAUCACAGCGCACGACCGCGCUUUAGCGGUUUUUUU